UACAGAGGGUGCGAGCGUUGUUCGGAAUUAUUGGGCGUAAAGAGCUCGUAGGCGGCCUGUUACGUCUGCUGUGAAAUCCCGGGGCUUAACCCCGGGCGUGCAGUGGAUACGGGCAGGCUGGAGGCAGGCAGGGGAGACUGGAAUUCCUGGUGUAGCGGUGAAAUGCGCAGAUAUCAGGAGGAACACCGGUGGCGAAGGCGGGUCUCUGGGCCGUAACUGACGCUGAGGAGCGAAAGCGUGGGGAGCAAACAGG
rnacentral:rRNA from 1 species